CGCACGAGAAAGUGGAGCAAUCCAUGAGUACAGUGGCGCACGGGUGAGUAACACGUGAAUCAUCUACCUUCGAGUGGGGAAUAACUGGGAGAAAUCUCAGCUAAUACCGCAUAAUACCUACGGGUCAAAGCAGCAAUGCGCUUGAAGAGGAGUUCGCGGCAGAUUAGUUAGUUGGCGGGGUAAUGGCCCACCAAGACGAUGAUCUGUAUCCGGCCUGAGAGGGCGCACGGACACACUGGAACUGAAACACGGUCCAGACUCCUACGGGAGGCAGCAGUGGGGAAUUUUGCGCAAUGGGGGAAACCCUGACGCAGCAACGCCGCGUGGAGGAUGAAAUCCCUUGGGAUGUAAACUCCUUUCGAUCGGGACGAUUAUGACGGUACCGGAAGAAGAAGCCCCGGCUAACUUCGUGCCAGCAGCCGCGGUAAUACGAGGGGGGCAAGCGUUGUUCGGAAUUAUUGGGCGUAAAGGGCGCGUAGGCGGUUUGACAAGUCUGAUGUGAAAUCUGUGGGCUCAACCCACAGCCUGCAUUAGAAACUGUCGGGCUUGAGUAUGGGAGAGGUGAGUGGAAUUUCCGGUGUAGCGGUGAAAUGCGUAGAUAUCGGAAGGAACACCUGUGGCGAAAGCGGCUCACUGGACCAUAACUGACG
rnacentral:rRNA from 1 species